GCGCCCGUAGCUCAAUUGGAUAGAGUAUCGGUCUUCGAAACCGAGGGUUGGGAGUUCAAGCCUCUCCGGGCGCGCCA
rnacentral:tRNA from 1 species